rnacentral:miRNA from 1 species
UAGCACUGCUCAGGGCUUUCAGG